rnacentral:rRNA from 1 species
UACGGAGGGGGGCUAGCGUUGUUCGGAAUUACUGGGCGUAAAGCGCGCGUAGGCGGACCUGCAAGUCGGGGGUGAAAGCCCGAGGCUCAACCUCGGAACUGCCUUCGAUACUGCGGGUCUCGAGUCCGGGAGAGGUGAGUGGAAUUCCUAGUGUAGAGGUGAAAUUCGUAGAUAUUAGGAAGAACACCAGUGGCGAAGGCGGCUGCACUGGCCCGGUACUGACGCGUGAGGCGACGAAGCGUGGGGAGCAAACAG